rnacentral:lncRNA from 1 species
UUAGCUAGUUCAAUCUAAUUAAGAGUCAGUUUCCUGGAAAUACAGUGCUAGUACCCUAUAAGAAGCUGCACAUUACCAAAGCCAAGUUUGAAUCUUUAGCCUAAGGAAACAGUCCCAGCUCUUACCAAUGGAAGAAGCUGUACAUAGAGGCAGACUAAACUCUUAUUCUACUUGAAAGCUAACCUGGCUCAGUUGUUGACCAGUACUUCUUUAUUUCAAUCUGUAGAUGGACCAGAUUUAUGACUGAAGGAUAGCCUUGGUACUUUGUUACACAUCCAGAAAAUGCCGACAAGGUCCCAUCAGCCAGUUAAGAUUACAGCAUCCCAAGAUUACAGUAUUUAAUUUACG